UGGUCAAGUUAUUAAGGGUGCAGGGCGGAUGCCUUGGCACUAGGAGCCGAUGAAGGACGUGAUAAGCUGCGAUAAGCUUCGGGGAGUUGCACGUAAACUUUGAUCCGAAGAUUUCCGAAUGAGGAAACUCACUUAGAGUAAUGUCUAAGUAUCAUUAAGUGAAUACAUAGCUUAAUGAGGGGAACUCAGGGAACUGAAACAUCUAAGUACCUGAAGGAAGAGAAAGAAAUUCGAUUCCGUAAGUAGCGGCGAGCGAACGCGGAUUAGCCCAAACCAAUAAAGUUUUCUUUAUUGGGGUUGCGGACAUAUCAUAACGAAGAGGUAUCGUAAUUGAAGAGGUUUGGAAAGACCCACCACAGAAGGUAAUAGUCCUGUAUGUUAAACGAGAAGACUUUAGAUAUGAUCCAGAGUACCACGGGACACGUGAAACCCUGUGGGAAGCAGGAGGGACCACCCUCCAAGGCUAAAUACUACCUAGUGACCGAUAGCGUAUAGUACCGUGAGGGAAAGGUGAAAAGAACCCCGGGAGGGGAGUGAAAGAGAACCUGAAACCCUGCACUUACAAGCUGUGGAAGCACAUUUCUUGUGUGACCGCGUACUUUUUGUAGAACGGGCCAACGAGUUACGUUAAGUAGCAAGGUUAAGCACUUAAGGUG
rnacentral:rRNA from 1 species